GCGGGCGUAGCUCAGUUGGUAGAGCAUCUCCUUGCCAAGGAGAAGGUCUUGAGUUCGAAUCUCAUCGCCCGCU
rnacentral:tRNA from 1 species